AUUUUGUACAAUGGGGGAAACCCUGAUCCAGCAAUGCCGCGCGGAGGAGGAAGGCCUUCGGGUUGNACGCUGCUUUUGUACGGAACNCAAAGUCUUGGGCUAAUACGCUGGGAUCAUGACGGUACCGUAAGAAGGAGCACCGGCAAACUACGUGCCAGCAGCCGCGGUAAUACGUAGGGUGCAAGCGUUAAUCGGAAUUACUGGGCGUAAAGAGUGCGCAGGCGGUUGUGUAAGACAGUGGUGAAAUCCCCGGGCUCAACCUGGGAACUGCCAUUGUGACUGCAAGGCUGGAGUGCGGCAGAGGGGGAUGGAAUUCCGCGUGUAGCAGUGAAAUGCGUAGAUAUGCGGAGGAACACCGAUGGCGAAGGCAAUCCCCUGGGCCUGCACUGACGCUCAUGCACGAAAGCGUGGGGAGCAAACAGG
rnacentral:rRNA from 1 species